rnacentral:rRNA from 1 species
UGAACGCUGGCAGUGGCGGACGGGUGAGGAAUACAUCGGAAUCUACUCUGUCGUGGGGGAUAACGUAGGGAAACUUACGCUAAUACCGCAUACGACCUACGGGUGAAAGCAGGGGAUCUUCGGACCUUGCGCGAUUGAAUGAGCCGAUGUCGGAUUAGCUAGUUGGCGGGGUAAAGGCCCACCAAGGCGACGAUCCGUAGCUGGUCUGAGAGGAUGAUCAGCCACACUGGAACUGAGACACGGUCCAGACU